UACUUCCUACGGGACGCAGCAGUGGGGAAUAUUGCGCAAUGGGCGAAAGCCUGACGCAGCGACGCCGCGUGAGGGAUGAAGGCCUUCGGAUCGUAAACCUCUGUCAGCAGGGAAGAACGGUCACUGUGCUAAUCAGCAGUGAAUUGACGGUACCUGCAAAGGAAGCACCGGCUAACUCCGUGCCAGCAGCCGCGGUAAUACGGAGGGUGCGAGCGUUAAUCGGAAUUACUGGGCGUAAAGCGCUCGUAUGCGGUAUGUCAAGUCAGGGGUGAAAUCCCCUCGCU
rnacentral:rRNA from 1 species